AGACGUCUACAUUAGAUACCCGCGUAGUCCCAGCCGUAAACUAUGCGCGUUAGGUGUAUCGGUGACCACGAGUUACCGAGGUGCCGAAGGGAAACCGUGAAACGUGCCGCCUGGGAAGUACGGUCGCAAGGCUGAAACUUAAAGGAAUUGGCGGGGGAGCACCACAACAGGUGGAGCCUGCGGUUUAAUUGGACUCAACGCCGGGAAGCUCACCGGAUAGGACAGCAGAAUGAUUGCCGGGCUGAAGACCCUGCAUGAAUCGCUG
rnacentral:rRNA from 1 species